rnacentral:rRNA from 1 species
AUGUGAUCGUCUCUCGCAUAUCAAUAAGCGGAGGAAAAGAAACUAACAAGGAUUCCCCUAGUAACGGCGAGUGAAGCGGGAAGAGCUCAAAUUUGAAAUCUUAAAGGGUUUCCCUUUACGAAUUGUAGUUUAAAGAAGUGUUUUCUGUUGAGGUUUUGGUAAAAGUUCUUUGGAAUAGGACAUCAUAGAGGGUGAGAAUCCCGUAUUUGACCUUUACUUUCAACUUUGUGAUACACUUUCAAAGAGUCGGAUUGUUUGGGAAUGCAGUCCAAAAUGGGUGGUAAAUUUCAUCUAAAGCUAAAUAUUGGCGAGAGACCGAUAGCGAACAAGUACCGUGAGGGAAAGAUGAAAAGAACUUUGAAAAGAGAGUUAAACAGUACGUGAAAUUGUCAAAAGGGAAGCGUUUGACACCAGUGUUGUUUUUCUGAAAAUCAAUUAAAGAACUGUUUAUGCUAAGCUUGUUUAGACUUUAUCAGCUAUCUGUUUAGUUUUGAGCUUUUCUUUAAUGCACUUUUCAGUUAACAAGUCAACAUCAAUUUCUUUUGCUGUAAAAAAGCUUGAGGAAGGUGGCUUGAGAUUCGUCUUAAGUGUUUAUAGCCUCUUGCCUAUGCAGUCGGAGAGAUUGAGGUCUGCAGCGUAGAUCCUUCGGGGCUAAAUGCAUUUGUGCUAAGUUAUAGCAUUUUAUAGACAACUUGUUGACUAUGAUUUGUCUUGUAGCUUACUCGCUUAUGUUAUUUUACCUACGCUUAGGAUGUUGAUAUGCAUGACUGAUAU